ensembl:snRNA U6 U6 spliceosomal RNA
GUGCUCACUUCGGUGGCACAUAUACUAAAAUUGGAACAAUACAGAGAUGAUUAGCAUGGCCCCACACAAGGAUGGCAUGCAAAUUUGUAAGCAUUCCAUAUUUUU